UCUUGGAAGUAGAGUACUCUACUCUUGGAAGUAGAGUACUCUACUCUUGGAAGUAGAGUACUCUACUCUUGGAAGUAGAGUACUCUACUCUUGGAAG